rnacentral:rRNA from 1 species
GACGAACGCUGGCGGCGUGCUUAACACAUGCAAGUCGAACGAAGUGGCGAACGGGUGAGUAAUACGUGGGUAACCUGCCCUCCUUUUUGGGAUAAGCCUUGGAAACGGGGUCUAAUACCGAAUAAAGGGGGAUGGGCUCGCGGCCUAUCAGCUUGUUGGUGGGGGGGUGGCCUACCAAGGCGGUGACGGGUAGCCGGCCUGAGAGGGUGACCGGCCACAUUGGGACUGAGAUCCGGACCAGACUCCGACGGGAGGCAGCAGUGGGGGAUAUUGCACAAUGGGGGCUAGCCUGAACCAGCCAAGUAGCGUGAAGGAUGAAGGAUUAUGGGUCGUAAACUUCUUUUAUAUAAGAAUAUGUAUUAUAUGAAUAAGGAUCGGCUAACUCCGUGCCAGCAGCCGCGGUAAUUC